rnacentral:rRNA from 1 species
UACGUAGGGGGCUAGCGUUAUCCGGAAUUACUGGGCGUAAAGGGUGCGUAGGUGGUUUCUUAAGUCAGAGGUGAAAGGCUACGGCUCAACCGUAGUAAGCCUUUGAAACUGGGGAACUUGAGUGCAGGAGAGGAGAGUGGAAUUCCUAGUGUAGCGGUGAAAUGCGUAGAUAUUAGGAGGAACACCAGUUGCGAAGGCGGCUCUCUGGACUGUAACUGACACUGAGGCACGAAGGCGUGGGGAGCAAACAGG